CCUACGGGAGGCAGCAGUGAGGAAUAUUGGUCAAUGGGAGAGAUCCUGAACCAGCCAAGCCGCGUGAGGGAAUACGGCCCUAUGGGUUGUACACCUCUUUUGUCGGAGAACAAAACCCGGGACGUGUCCCGGACUGCGUGUAUCCGAAGAAAAAGCAUCGGCUAACCCCGUGCCAGCAGCCGUGGUAAUACGGAGGAUGCGAGCGUUAGCCGGAGCUAUUGGGUUUAAAGGGUGCGUAGGCGGUCCGUUAAGUCCGCGGUAAAAUGGCGGGGCUCAACCCCGGCGAGCCGUUGAAACUGGCAGACUUGAGUUGGCGAGAAGUACGCGGAAUGCGCGGUGUAGCGGUGAAAUGCAUAGAUAUCGCGCAGAACUCCGAUUGCGAAGGCAGCGUACCGGCGCCAGACUGACGCUGAGGCACGAAAGCGUGGGGAUCGAACAGGAUUAGAUACCCGAGUAGUC
rnacentral:rRNA from 1 species